AUUGAACGCUGGCGGCAGGCCUAACACAUGCAAGUCGAGCGGAUGAAGGGAGCUUGCUCCUGGAUUCAGCUGCGGACGGGUGAGUAAUGCCUAGGAAUCUGCCUGGUAGUUGGGGAUAACGUCCGGAAACGGGCGCUAAUACCGCAUACGUCCUGAGUGAGAAAGUGGGGGAUCUUCGGACCUCGCGCUAUCAGAUGAGCCUAGGUCGGAUUAGCUAGUUGGUGGGGUAAAGGCCUACCAAGGCGACGAUCCGUAACUGGUCUGAGAGGAUGAUCAGUCACACUGGAACUGAGACACGGUCCAGACUCCUACGGGAGGCAGCAGUGGGGAAUAUUGGACAAUGGGCGAAAGCCUGAUCCAGCCAUGCCGCGUGUGUGAAGAAGGUCUUCGGAUUGUAAAGCACUUUAAGUUGGGAGGAAGGGCAGUAAGUUAAUACCUUGCUGUUUUGACGGUACCAACAGAAUAAGCACCGGCUAUCUUCGUG
rnacentral:rRNA from 1 species